AUGUUACUAUCUUAAUAAUCAACCUGGUCAAAACCUUUCAGGUUUCUUCGUUUGAGUCAGUCGCCUUGAUUCAGAAUGUCACGAGCCUUAAGAUUUCAUGCUGAGGCGCCUUGCAAAUCCGACACUUAAGAUCCUCCUAGACCUUGAGGUGAUCAGCAUAAGAGGCCAGAUCCCCUCGAGCCAUCUACACGUAGCUUCACCUUAUUCUUUAAGGGCAGAAAAUUUGAGACGGUGACCGCCGUAACAGUAAAUUUGGCUUUCAGUUGGGGCCCCCCCUCCGGUUUAGAAAGAGGAACACCAGAUUGACCACAUUCCCAGCUAGAAAAAUCUUCUUGCGUCAAUCAAGCCUCACCCUGGCUCAUUGGGCUGUCAGUUUGAUCGUCGUUAGAUUGAAGAGAACACCUAGAUGCAGCGAUCGGCUAUAGAUACUUCUAGAUCGUCUAGAUCUGCUAGACCUUGGGCCAAAGAGGGUCGACCUGCAAACUUGCAAGGUUUAUUUUAAAUACGCAUUACAGUGUUUUUUAUUCUAAUGUAAUUCUGCAAUGUAAUUCAGCUUUUAACAUUUUUCUAGGUAGUAAAAUUGCUCAAGACAAGUAGGCCCAGAGAUUUUUCCAACUCACAGAUGCUAGUGAUGUGGUUUUUGUUUUUGUUUUUAUUUUAUUUUUAGUUGUCUGAAAGUUUUGACUUCAGCAGGGCCUCACAUGUAGCGUGUGGCUGAAGCUGUUUUCUGAUACGUGUUUUCUCCAACCUAACCCCAGGUCCCGGUCUAGAUCCCGUUCCAGGUCCCGUGGAAGGAGGUAUUCUCGGUCACGCAGUCGAAGUCGUGGUAGGAGAUCAAGGUCAGCUUCCUACCGCAGGUCCAGGUCAAUCUCUCCUCGUAGGUAUAGAUCAUUUUCACCUCGGAGGUCACGAUCUGGAUCCAUAAGGAGAUCAAGGUCUAGGUCGAGAUCGCGCUCAAGGUCUCGGUCUGUUGUAUGGCCUCGAAGCAGGUCUGGGUCCCAUGGUAGAUCUAAAUCUGGCUUACCUGCUAAAAGUCGCUCAAAGUCCAGAUCACCAUCUCCAAAGAGAAGUCAUUCACCAUCAGGAAGCCCUUGAAGGAGUGCAUGUCCUGAAAGAAUGGAUUCAAGUUAAAAAGUUUAAGAAGAAAAUUUAUUUUGUUUACAUUAUUAUAAGGGAUUUUGUGCUGUCUUUAUAAAUGUAAGGGCUUAGUCCUAGAAGGCUGUUUCUAUUGACUAACAACAAGUGGCAUGAUUGGAUCUUUUAAAAGUCUUAUUAGUAGACUAAUGCAAAACUCCUUUGUUGUGUUAAUGUUCUGUGAUCUGGAACUGUUGGGCUUUUUUAUUGGCGCAUUGAAAUAAACUGUGCAUUUCUAACUAAGAAA